rnacentral:tRNA from 1 species
GCCUUCGUGGUGUAGUGGUCAGCACACUUGGCGCGUAUUCGAGAGGUCCGUGGUUCGAGUCCCGGUGAGGGCA